UGAUAGCUAUGAAACGUGAGGUUGCUGCUAUCGGGUGAUCGAUAGCAGGUUUUCCGUGGAGCGAAUGUCAAGUUCAGAAAACUGACGACAA
rnacentral:ncRNA from 1 species